CACGUAGUUAGCCGGAGCUUCCUCCUCUGCUACCGUCAUCAUCUUCACAGAGGACAGAGGUUUACAAUCCGAAAACCGUCUUCCCUCACGCGGCGUUGCUGGUUCAGGGUUUCCCCCAUUGACCAAUAUCCCUUACUGCUGCCUCCCGUAGGAGUCUGGGCCGUGUCUCAGUCCCAAUGUGGCCGUCCAACCUCUCAGUCCGGCUACCGAUCGUCGGCUUGGUGGGCCGUUACCCCACCAACUACCUAAUCGGACGCGAGCCCAUCUUUCAGCGGAUUGCUCCUUUGAUUAUCCUACCAUGCGAUAAGAUAAUGUCAUGCGGUAUUAGCGUUCGUUUCCAAACGUUAUCCCCCUCUGAAAGGCAGGUUGCUCACGCGUUACUCACCCGUCCGCCACUAAGAUAUCCAAGAUUCAUUACCGAAGUACUUCAUCAGCGAAUAUCUCCGUUCGACUUGCAUGUAUUAGGCACGCCGCCAGCGUUCGUCCUGAGCCAGGAUCAAACUCU
rnacentral:rRNA from 1 species